AGUGAAGUUGCUGGGUCAUAUGGUAAUUCUGCUUCUUGAGGAACUGCCAAAAUAUUUUCUAAGAGGCUGCACAAUUUUACAUUCCCACUAGCAAU
rnacentral:pre_miRNA from 1 species